CACGUAGGGUGCGAGCGUUGUCCGGAAUUAUUGGGCGUAAAGAGCUCGUAGGCGGUGUGUCGCGUCGGCCGUGAAAACCUGCAGCUUAACUGUGGCUUGCGGUCGAUACGGGCAUCACUGGAGUUCGGCAGGGAGACUGGAAUUCCUGGUGUAGCGGUGAAAUGCGCAGAUAGUCGGGAGGAACGACCGGUGGCGAAGGCG
rnacentral:rRNA from 1 species